UCCGUAGGGUGCGAGCGUUGUCCGGAAUUAUUGGGCGUAAAGGGCUCGUAGGCGGUUUGUCGCGUCGGGGGUGAAAUCCACUGGCUUAACUGGUGGCUUGCUUUCGAUACGGGCAGACUGGAGGUAUGCAGGGGAGAACGGAAUUCCCAGUGUAGCGGUGAAAUGCGUAGAUAUUGGGAGGAACACCAGUGGCGAAGGCGGCUCACUGGACCGGAACUGACGCUGAGGCGCGAAAGCGUGGGGAGCAAACGGG
rnacentral:rRNA from 1 species